UACAGAGGUCUCAAGCGUUAAUCGGAAUUACUGGGCUUAAGGGGUCCGCAGGCGGACCAGCAAGUACCUUGUGAAAUCUCAGGUCUCAACCCUGAGUCUGCUGGGUAGACUGCUGGUCUUGAGUGCAAAAGGGGUCGCUGGAACUCUAGGUGGAGCGGUGAAAUGCGUAGAUAUCAAGAGGAACACCUGAGGUGAAGACGGGUUGCUGGGCCAACACUGACGCUGAUGCGCGAAAGCCAGGGGAGCAAACGGG
rnacentral:rRNA from 1 species